GUCUCAUUUUGAUUGCUUUCAUAUAAAUUAAGCCAUAUGUUGUGGCUUCAAUUGGGGUUCUUCCCCAAGUCCAAGAGUUUGCUCUCCUCGUCAUAAGUGGAAUGAUUCAGAUUACAUGGCCCCACCUCAAAGAGACUAACUUGUGGGCCCACAUUGCUAGCCAAUAGGUACAUGACACAUCAAUUAGAAAGUCAAUAUUCAUCUAUCUAACAAAAAUUAUUGGUUGG
rnacentral:lncRNA from 1 species